rnacentral:lncRNA from 1 species
GUUUAUUCCACUAAGUACAGAAGGGAAUUCCUUUUACUUGCAACUCAUUUAUGUGAUGUCUUAGUCAUUUCAUGCUUCUAUGAACAAAAUACCAGUUAGCUGGAAUAUUGGAAGUCCAAGAUCCAGAUACCAGCAGAUCUGGUUACUGAUGAAAGCAUUCUUCCUGGGUUGCAGAUGAUGGUCUUCCCAUUGUAGCCUCACAUGGCCUAGAGAGAAAUAAUCUUUGUUUCUUCCUAUAAGGGUGCUAUACUCAUUAGAUUCUACUAAUGAUCUAACUAUCCCCCAAAGGAUCCACAACCUAAUACUAUCACAUUGGGGGUGAAGAUUUCAUUACAAGCUAAUCAUUUAUAUCACCACUAGUCUCUGGACCUAAAUUCAUACGUUGAACAAGCCCCAUUGUGGUAAUAUUGGGAGGUGGGGUCAUUUGAAGAUAGUUAGGUGACAUAAAAUUUUGAAAAGAAGGAAAGAAAAAAUAUAAAAGCCAUCUCAUUUUUCCUAUUUUUUUUUCCUCCUUUUUUAUUUUUUUAGUCUUGGCACAGAGCAAGCGGGAAGUUACUUAGCACGGUUCCGGGUUUCCUCGCGCCCCGCCCGGCCCCCCUCCCACCCCCACACAGCUACAGGCUCUUGGUCCCCCAGUCGGUCUGUCCCGCAGCAAGCAACCCGGAGUCCGUCGGUCCGCGCUGGGCCCGCCCGCCGCGCAUCUGCCCUUCUCGGCUGACUCCGCCCCGCAUCUGUCCGGACCCGCCUCGCGUCUGAGCUGACCCACCGCGCGUCUGCCAGUCAGUCCCUCCGGACCUGCCGCGAGUCUCAGGCUGCCGAAAUCACCGCGCCUCAGUCGGAGCUCGAGGCCUGUGUUUCUGCAGAAAACGGGUCGCGAGGCCUCUGUCAGCAAUGCUAGAUGUGCGGAGCCAGGCAGCUGCUGGAUGAUUUCUUACAAUUGAACGCCUCGACAGUGAUUCUGAGUCUGCUUUUAGCUUCCCUUCGCCUGCCUUGGCUUUUUCUGUACGUGAACAGCUGCUUGGCCCAUAGCUUAGAGAAAGCAGCCUUUUUUUUUUUUUUUUUUUCCUCUCCCAAGAGAACC